rnacentral:rRNA from 1 species
GACGAACGCUGGCGGCGUGCUUAACACAUGCAAGUGGAGCGACGAACCAGGGCUUGCCCUGGGGCAGAGCCGCGAACGGGUGAGUAACACGUGGGUUACCUGCCCCGAUGACCGGGACAACCCGAGGAAACUCGGGCUAAUACCGGAUGUGGUCUUCGGACGAAAGGAAGCUUCGGCCUCCGCAUCGGGAUGGGCCCGCGGCGCAUUAGCUUGUUGGGUGGGGUAACGGCCUACCAAGGCUACGANGCGUAGCUGGUCUGAGAGGACGAUCAGCCACACUGGGACUGAGACACGGCCCAGACUCCUACGGGAGGCAGCAGUGGGGAAUCUUGCGCAAUGCGCGAAAGCGUGACGCAGCAACGCCGCGUGGGGGAAGAAGGCC